rnacentral:rRNA from 1 species
AUGCACGCUGGCGGCGUGCUUCACACAUGCAAGUCGCACGGUGAAGCUCCAGCUUGCUGGAGUGGAUCAGUGGCGAACGGGUGAGUAACACGUGAGCAACCUGCCCCUGACUCUGGGAUAACAGCCGGAAACGGCUGCUAAUACCGGAUAUGCACCAUGAACGCAUGUUCUGUGGUGGGAAAGAUUUUUCGGUUGGGGAUGGGCUCGCGGCCUAUCAGCUUGUUGGUGAGGUAAUGGCUCACCAAGGCGUCGACGGGUAGCCGGCCUGAGAGGGUGACCGGCCACACUGGGACUGAGACACGGCCCAGACUCCUACGGGAGGCAGCAGUGGGGAAUAUUGCACAAUGGGCGAAAGCCUGAUGCAGCAACGCCGCGUGAGGGAUGACGGCCUUCGGGUUGUAAACCUCUUUUAGCAGGGAAGAAGCGAGAGUGACGGUACCUGCAGAAAAAGCGCCGGCUAACUACGUG